rnacentral:rRNA from 1 species
UAAUACUCCAUAGAUUAGAGACACUGGAAUGUUCUUUAGUCGAAAGUUCUGGCGCCUUAGGAUGGAUCUGCGGUCGAUUAGGUUGUUGUUGGGGUAACGGCCCAACAAGCCUGUAAUCGAUACGGGUUGUGGGAGCAAGAGCCCGGAGAUGGAAUCUGAGACACGAUUCCAGGCCCUACGGGGCGCAGCAGGCGCGAAAACUUUACAAUGCAGGAAACUGUGAUAAGGGAACUCCGAGUGCCCGUAUACGCGGGCUGUUCAGGUGUUUAAAAAUCAUCUGAAGAAAGGGCCGGGCAAGACCGGUGCCAGCCGCCGCGGUAAUACCGGCGGCUCGAGUGGUGGCCACUAUUAUUGGGCUUAAAGCGUCCGUAGCUGGACCGAUAAGUCUCUUGGGAAAUCCGCCGGCUCAACCGGCGGGCGUCUAAGGGAUACUGUUAGUCUAGGGACCGGGAGAGGUGAGAGGUACUCCGGGGGUAGGAGUGAAAUCCUGUAAUCCCCGGGGGACCACCGAUGGCGAAGGCAUCUCACCAGAACGGCUCCGACAGUGAGGGACGAAAGCUGGGGGAGCGAACCGGAUUAGAUACCCGGGUAGUCCCAGCCGUAAACUAUGCGCGUUAGGUGUAC